rnacentral:rRNA from 1 species
UUGAACGCUGGCGGCAGGCCUAACACAUGCAAGUCGAACGGUAACAGGAAGCAGCUUGCUGCUUCGCUGACGAGUGGCGGACGGGUGAGUAAUGUCUGGGAAACUGCCUGAUGGAGGGGGAUAACUACUGGAAACGGUAGCUAAUACCGCAUAACGUCGCAAGACCAAAGAGGGGGACCUUAGGGCCUCUUGCCAUCGGAUGUGCCCAGAUGGGAUUAGCUAGUAGGUGGGGUAACGGCUCACCUAGGCGACGAUCCCUAGCUGGUCUGAGAGGAUGACCAGCCACACUGGAGCUGAGACAGGGUCCAGACUCCUACGGGAGGCAGCAGUGGGGAAUAUUGCACAAUGGGCGCAAGCCUGAUGCAGCCAUGCCGCGUGUAUGAAGAAGGCCUUCGGGUUGUAAAGUACUUUCAGCGGGGAGGAAGGGAGUAAAGUUAAUACCUUUGCUCAUUGACGUUACCCGCAGAAGAAGCACCGGCUAACUCCGUG